CUUCUGGGGUGAACAUGGACCCACUGUCUUCCGUCAAGGUCUAGGAUGGACAUGGACCCACCAUCAUCUGGGAGGUCCUGGAGUGGACGUGGACCCACCAUCAUCAGUGUCCCUUGGGAAGGAGAGGACCCAGCAGCAUUCAUUACCACCCGAUGCUUGCUAAUGGUGUGACCUUGAAUGAGUCAGCCUGUCGCCUGUCUGUGCCUCCGUUUGUCUGUCUGAGAGUGUUAAUGGCUGCUUAUAAGGUGCACACGGUAUGAGUGAUGCUGAAUGAAUGGCAGUUGGACAUGUUUUCUCUGUUGAACCCUCUUUGAGGCCUCUCGGAAGCCAGAGAGAAUAGAGGACGGUCCAGGAGCCUUGU
rnacentral:lncRNA from 1 species